AUUAUAAAACUGUAAUUAAACUCAAAGAAUAUGGAAAAUAGUAUAUUUAAAUUUGAGAAGAAUGACACAUGUCGAAUGAAUAGAGCGCCACUUGUCAGAUUUUUAGAGUACAAGUUUGAGGAAACCUUACUUUAUUAUAUAAGAUGUGGUUGGUUACUUGUUCGUCUUCUUAAUUUUUCGACAAUUAUUAAAUAAAAUUGUGAUGAUUGAAAACUAUAUAAUAAAGACAAAGUUUGGGAAAAUAAAAAUAAAAUAAAGAAACGUGCGAGAGAGUAUAGGUGGUAGAUUCUUUUUCAGCUUGUUCACUUGAGUAUAAUUUUU
rnacentral:sRNA from 1 species